rnacentral:lncRNA from 1 species
AGCAGCAGUGGCAUAUCUCAGAAGCGAUCUUUCACUCUGGUCGUGGCAUGCACACUCUCGUCCCCGAUUACCUGGAGCACGUCAUAGAGCGUCCAGAAGAAAAAGCUCUUUACCUAUUUCAAUGACUACUCCUAAUCCGUGCCUUUCGACCACCCCGCCACCUAUGGGGGAGCUCAAGCGCAGGAUCAAGGAUGAUCUCCUGGGAUUCAUGGACGGCGAGGCUUACUUCCGGAAGAUCGGUCGAGCAUUGAAGCGGGGAUAUGUCCUCUACGGCCCGCCGGGCACGGGAAAGUCGUUGCUCAUCGCUGCCAUAGCUCACUUCACCAGUUAC